GGAUCUGGUACCGCAGUGCCCCAAGAUAUCUGGUAGAUCCCUUCAUCUCAGUCAGCAAAGUCUCUCACCAGCUUUGCUCCAUCCCAUAUCACACUGCCGAUGGCUUCUCUCUGAGCCUGGCAGCAAUCUCUCUAUCCAUCUAGUUCCCAAGGCAGGUUGCCACCAUGCCAGACAUACACACCCCAAUUCUGUGGUAGCCUAGUGUCUCCAGCCACCACAUACUCUCUUGAACUUAAUUCCUCACAUGAGAGAACACACAACACAAUGACCUCUGAUCCAACUGAUAAGAUAUAAUUGCCCACCUAGACAUACAAAGCCCUGUACACAUCCG
rnacentral:lncRNA from 1 species